CUGCACGAUGCCUCCCGGGCUUCCCUGAAUUUAAUCUAGUGAAGGUGAAUGCCCCAAUGCACGUGCUAAAGUUCUGCUGUUUAGUGUUGCAGUUCAGCCUUUUCUCCUUUCCACUGCUGAUCUGUGUCAAAUCAACGGCCACAUCU
rnacentral:snoRNA from 1 species